GCAUAUUGAAACGCUUUUGCAAGGGGGAUAUCAUUACAUCAACAUUACAUAAUAGAUGGGGAUACAUACAUAAGGCAUACAAUGCCACAUGAAUACAACAUCACAAUACAUAAGAGCAUCAUCCGACUACGGACGAAACACAAACAGAAACUCAAACGACAUCCACCCUGCUAGCCCAGGCUGCCGACCUGGAACCUAUCCCCUGAUCGAAGAAGCAGAAGAAGAACUCAACGCAAGCAAGCAUCGCUCUCGCGUCAUGAUCAUCGCUCAACCUGUACCUGCAACUGUUGUUGUAGUAAUCUGUGAGCCACGAGGACUCAGCAAUCCCAUUACCAUGGGUAUCAAGACUAGCAAAGCUUAAAGGGAAUGGAAGGGGUAAAGUGGUGAGGCUGCAGCAGCGACUAAGCAUGAUAUGGUGGCUAACAUACGCAAAUAAGAGCGAGAAGAGAGCAAGCGGAACGGUCGUGAAGCUAGCAAUGAUCAAGAAGUGAUCCUGAACUCCUACUUACGUCAAACAUAACCCAUAAAUCGUGUUUACUUCCCGGACUCCGCCGAGAAGAGACCAUCACAGCUACACACGCGGUUGAUGCGUUUUAAUUUGGAUCUGGUGUCAAGUUAUCUACAACCAGACAUUAACAAAUUCCCAUCUGCCUAUAACCGCAGGCACGGCUUUCGAAAGAUUAUACCCUGCAGGGGUGUCCCAACUUAGCCCAUGAUAAGCUCUCGUGAUCAACGAAGGAAUAGACCUUCUCCUAGGAAGACCCGAUCAGACUCGGAAUCCCAGUUUACAAGACAUUUCGACAAUGGUAAAACAAGACCAGCAAAGCCGCCCGAUGCACCGACAAAUCCCGAUAGGAGCUGCACAUAUUUCGUUCUCAGGGCACACCGAAUGAGCAAGACGUCGGGUUGGCAUAGACCCUGAUUGCCCAGGGGGCGCCGGACAUCGCUCGGUUCGGACCAACACUUAGACAAGCACUGGCCCGGGGGGGCUAAAAUAAAGAUGACCCUUGGGUUGGCCAACCCAAGGGAAAGGGAUAGGUGGUGGUGAGGCAAAUGGUAAAACCAAGGUUGGGCCUUGCUGGAGGAGUUUUAUUCAAAGCGAACUGUCAAGGGGGUCCCAUAAAUCACCCGACCGCGUAAGGAACGCAAAAUCCGGGAACAUAACACCGGUAUGACGGAAACUAGGGCGGCAAGAGUGGAACAAAACACCAGGCAAAAGGCCAAGUCUUCCACCCUUUACCAAGUAUAUAGAUGCAUUAAUAAUAUAAGAGAUAUUAUGAUAUCCCAACCAAAAUCCUGUCCACCAUGGAGAAAUCUUCAACUUCACCUGCAACUAGCAACGCUAUAAGAGGGCUGAGCAAAGCGGUAACAUAGCCAAACAAUGGUUUGCAUGGGAAAGGUGUCAAAGGUUAGAGGUUCAUGGCAAUUUAGGAUGGCUUGAUAAACAGGUAAUAGGUAGCGCAGCAAAGCAAUAGAACGAAGCAACUAGCAUAGCAAUGAUAGUAGUGAGAUCCAGGGUAGCGGUCAUCUUGCCUGAAAUCCCGCAAGGAAGAAGAACGAGUCCAUGAAGAAGACGAACGGAUGAAGCCGAACCAAGCGUAGACGAACGAAUCCUCACGAUCGCAACGAAACAGGAACUAUUGAAAAGAAGCACACAACAUAGUAAACACACCACACAUGAACAAGACAUGAUGCACAAACAAGCAUGAUGCAUGACAAAGCUACAUGAAGCUACUCAUGGCAAGAGAUGAUGCAAACAAGAGCAACACAUCAAGGCAAGUUUAAAUGAUGCCGGGAACAACAUAUAACAAUUCUGGUAAGUCCUCAUAUGCAAAUUUCGAAGUUAAUCCAGAUCUGAAUAAACCUUAUGUUCAAGUUGUUAAACAGCAAGUUAAGAUGCACCAAGAUGAUCUACACGAGAUUCUAGUCAAGUUACAUAUAAAGUUCAUUUAAUUUGGAGCUACGGCCUAGAAGAUAUGAGCAAAACAAGUUAAACAUGGCAUUAAUGCAAAAUGCACCCAAACAUCAAGCAAACACCUCAAAACAAGGAUGCAACAUGAUAAUAUGAAGCUACAUGCAAAAUCAAGCAAGUAUCAUAUAGAGCACACUCAAAACGGAGCAACGAUUCAACAAACACAUGAAACAAGUUUAAAGGACAAGCUGUCCAAAACAGCAACUAGGCAUAUUGCAAGCAUCAAAACAACAUGCUACAGCACCUCAACAUAAUAACAAAACGCAUGGGCAUGAUGUACAGGUAAAGCAUAACAAAACAUGAACAUUGAGCUAUCUCCAGAAAUCACUAGAACAUGCUCAAACACACAUGGUAAGAUUACAAGUUAUAACAAUUUCAGACUUUGCAGAAAAUAGCAUCACAAUGCAAUGUUCAGAGCUAUCCAACAACAUGUUAUAGAAACUUAUCAUGGCAAACAAAGGCAUGGCAUGAAUCUACUAAAAGCAUAGAUCAAAAGUCCCUUACUGACCAUAAGCCAAAAAGGAUCAGAAAAUAUGAUGGCACCCAUGUAAACAUAGCAAGUUAUAUUACAGAUUCAAACAUGGCAGAAACAGAAUUAUGAAGGCAUGUAGAUGAACUUGUGCAACUCACUACAAAGCAAUACAUGGCAUGGCAAGGCAACCAACAGUAAGAAGGCAUGUUUGUGAAGCUAAGCAUGGCAAAAGCAAGUUCAUAGGAUGCAUGGAACACUAGGAAAACACAUGGCCACAACUGAACUUAAUGUUAACUGGCUGACAACAACAUUAUGAAGCAACUUUGAAGCAAGAUAUGAACAAGCUACAGCAAGAUAUAAAUGCAACCAGGGGCAUGGAUGGAUAUAGCAUGACAUGUAGAACAAAACAUGUUUAAUGAUCAUCUCCAGAUUAUGCAUAGAAUGAUUAGUAGCAACAUGUUUAUAUAGCAUCACGAAAUAACAGAUUCAGCCUAGCAAAACAGCAACAUCAUGUACACUGCUUAACAAGCUUGAUUCACUCACCACAAGUCAUUACAUGACAAGAUAAGCAUAGAAUCAUCAAGAAGACAUGUUUGUGAAACAAACCAAGUCAAGAACAAGUCCAUAGCAUGCACGCAUCAUCUACAACAACCUUGGCUAAAUUGAAUAACAUGUAAACAAUCUGCCAGGAAACAUUUUGAAGCAAAAGUAGAUUACUCAAAUGACAUGCUAAACUACUCCAUAAUUGCAACAAAGGGCAGGAAUGGAUAGACAAUAACCAUAUGUUCAAAACACCCUUAAUGAAGUAUCUCAAAAUAUGCAUGGAUCACUCUGUAGCAUCAACUUUACAUGGCAUCAAAAUAACAGCAGAACAGGGACUAAAAUCAGCAAUAUCACGAUGCCUAGUUUGCAUGCUUGUGCUAGUCACCACAUUGAUCACAAAAAUACAUGGUAAGCACCUCUGUAAAAAAGACAUAGCAUAAUCAAAACACAUGUAGACAUCAACCUCAUAAGAUGCACACAACAAUCAUGGCAAAAAUGACAAAAGAGCUCGUUCUGAUAAUAGACAGCAGAAAACAUCAUGAAGCACUCUUACAACGAUGAUUUAGGCAUCAAGAUGACCUCAAAUGAAUAUGAUGCAAUGGAAUGAAAUGGUGUACUCGUUGAGACGAACAAUUUGACAUAUUACACGCACGAAAUGGAGCCACGGAUGCAGAGAUAUGAUGGCAUGAACAUGGCAUGAAAAUUACUGGAAUCUGGGGACUUAGCAGUUUUCUCACCACGGGGAAAAAGUCAACCGCGGCACGGAGAUCGAGGAUGGCCGGAAUCUCACCGGAGAUGGACGUGGAAGUCGCCGGGGAGGUCCGGAGAUUUCGGAUCCGGGCCGGAUCUCGCCGGAUCCGGGCCGGAUCUCGCCGGAUCCGGGCCGGAUCUCGCCGGAUCCGGCCGGAUCCCGGCGCGGGGAGGCGGAGGAGGCGCAGGGCGAGGACGAGCGCCGGAGCUUCGGGGCGGGGCGAGCGGCGGCNNNNNNNNNNNNNNNNNNNNNNNNNNNNNNNNNNNNNNNNNNNNNNNNNNNNNNNNNNNNNNNNNNNNNNNNNNNNNNNNNNNNNNNNNNNNNNNNNNNNNNNNNNNNNNNNNNNNNNNNNNNNNNNNNNNNNNNNNNNNNNNNNNNNNNNNNNNNNNNNNNNNNNNNNNNNNNNNNNNNNNNNNNNNNNNNNNNNNNNNNNNNNNNNNNNNNNNNNNNNNNNNNNNNNNNNNNNNNNNNNNNNNNNNNNNNNNNNNNNNNNNNNNNNNNNNNNNNNNNNNNNNNNNNNNNNNNNNNNNNNNNNNNNNNNNNNNNNNNNNNNNNNNNNNNNNNNNNNNNNNNNNNNNNNNNNNNNNNNNNNNNNNNNNGCCGGCUGCGGGCCUGGAGGGCCCGGCGGCGCGGGAGACGGCGGCGCCCACGUGGCGGCCGUGGAUUGGCCGGGGCGGUGGUGGCGGACAUUGUCCGGCCGGACCGGACAUGUCCGGCGGCGCGGAGAGGAGCGGGGCUAGGCUUAGGGGUGGAUUUGAUCCGGAAUUUCGGGGGAGGAGGUGUUUAUAUAGGUAGGGGGAGCUAGGAGAGUCCAAAUGAGAAGUGGUUUUCGGCCGCGCGAUCGUGAUCGAACGACCGAGAGCAUGGAGGGGAGUUAGAUGGGUUUUGGGCCAGUUUGGAAGAGUGUUGGGCUGCAAAGAGAGAGGGGCUUUUACGGUUACCCGGUUAACCAUUGGAGUACCAAACGACCUCCAAAUGGCACGAAACUUGACAGGCGGUCUACCGGUGGUAUACCAAAGCCGCUUGGCAAACCUCGGUUCAUUCCGAGAACGUUCAACACCCACUCACAACAGGAGACGAAAAGGGGAACGCCGGAGGGCAUAGGAGCGCCGGAUUGCAAAAUGGACAACGGGGAAAAUGCUCGGAUGCAUGAGACGAACACGUAUGCAAAAUGAAAUGCACAUGAUGACAUAAUAAAAUGCAACACGCAAGCAAAUGACAUGGCAACAACGGCGAGUAACUGGGAGACACCUGGCGCAUCGAAUCCGGGGCGUUACAGGCGUGAACGACCUCGCGAGGAUCGCUGGCAGGACCAGCCUCGCGAGGGGGCUUGGUGGGGUCAGCCUCGUGAGGAUUGCCCGCAGGGCAACACAGGCCUUCCUCCUCUGCCACCACCGCCAAGAAGGAAUGACGGCCACCACCAGGAUGAGGGGGCUAGGGGGCUUCCAGGAGCCACGUGCUAUCACUUGCAUCUUGGGCGGCACCCAGGCCCCAGCCUCUCAGCGCAUCUUCAAGCAGUUUGCUCGCGGGGUGAACGCAGUCCUCCCCAUGCUCGAGGCCACGCGCCCUCUCAGGUGGUCCACGUGCUCCAUCACGUUCAGCUCAGCGGAUCAGCUCAAGUGUGCGUCUACAGCUGGCGUCCUCCCAAUGCUUUGUUCCCCAGUCAUUAGCAAUGUGCAAGUUACCAGGACCCUCAUCGAUGGCGGCGCAGGACUCAACGUUCUGUCCAUCAAGGCGUUCAACAACCUACAAGUGCCUUAUGAUCAACUCCAGCCAACCAGCCGAGUCGCGUCUCAGGAGCGCUUCUGGCCUUCGCGCGUGGGACGCUGCGAGGGUCCGCUGCACAGCUACGUUCGCAUGCCUUUUGGUCUGUUGAAUGCGGCUGCCACUCACCAGCGUCUUCUGCGGAGCAUUUUGGCAGCUCGGGAGGCCAGACACCACGCGGUCCUAGCGGAGGUGGAGAUGGUCCUCGAGGAGCCGCCCGGACCCCCAGAGCCUCCCGAGGCUCAGGGCUCCGGUGGCUCGUGAGGAUCGGCCCCUUCACCGCGCAUCGUCAGCUACUUCAGCACCCGCUCUACAAUGGUAUCAGGUGACAUCUUUCGAGUUCAUUUCAGCUGGGAGCGUCCUCAGGGCUGCAUUAUUCCCAGGUCGCGUGGGUCUGUCCCUGAGGCAUGUAUCCCUUUUGCUUAUGUCUUUACUUUACCUUGCUUUGGGCGCCUCUCGGGUUGCAUCAUCCCCAAGCCGCUCGGGCCUGACCCAGUGGCAUGUAUCCUUCCUUCAUCUAUCUAAGCUGAUUUGCCUUUCAUGCUUAACCUGCUUGUGAUAAUCGCCUGCUCGAUUGACACCUACCUCUGGAGCCGCUCGUGCUGGCACGACGCUUGUGCAUGGGUCCGUCCCUGCAACAUCGAAAAAUCUGAGCAGUCGAGGUCUGGCCCGCAGCAGCCCCGCAAGCGUCACCUCACCAGGCCCUCAGUGCCCUCACCACUCUCUCGGAGCAACCAACUGUCGGCCGGCAAUCGUAAUGGCAACUCUUGCUUUUCUCGUGUUGGUUUACAGGGACUACCUAAGGCCUAAAACGGGAGGCAUCGCGAGCUCUGUCCUUCUCUUACCCGUGCGAUCUGCUUGCGCGUUAAAAGGGGGGCGCCUGAGCAUCACGACUCAGGAGCUCUUACUGGCUCUCCAGCCCUCACCCCCUGACCUUGUCCACGGCAUCGCGAUCUGGCAUAACAGCGGCAGCUGAGCUCGCUCGAGGGCCGGGACCUAAGGACGUAGAGCACGAAGGAGAGUACGGGGAAGAGAGAGGAAGCUCAGGAAGGCCUAGCCCAGCUAUAUCCCAGCUGCAGGCAUGCAAGUCCGGCGCCUCGCGAAGGAUCUACCCCUGCUUUCGAGAUAAGUCUCGCCCCUGGAAUAGCUAAUUGACGCGACACGAAACCUCCACCCAGUACGGCUCUGUGACAGCGACAUUGCCUUCCUUUCUCACCCAUCGACGGCUGCUUGCGCGCUAAAGGGGACCUCCUGAGCAUCGCGCCUCAGGGGCUCUUAUUGGACCUCGGGACGCUCACCUCCUGGCCUUGACCACGGCAUCGCGAUCUAGCAUGCCAGCGAUGGCUGAAGCCUGCCUGGGGACCGAGACCUGUCAGCGUAGAGUGCCAAGUCGUUGUGAGGUUAGAAAGGGGGAGCCAAGCCGGAACAGGACAAGCAUUUGCACCACUUCAUAAUCAGGAUAAUAUCAACAAAAGACAUUGCAGAUACUUUACAUGCCCCCACGGGGUACUUUCUCAAUUCCUCACAGGGAACAAAAGGUGUGAAUCCUAAGGAGCCCUAACUACACGCGCCCUCAUAGCCGACACCAUCAUCAACACUGGGCCACGAGGGGCUGGCGCCAACCCCUGAAGGAAAUAUGCCCUAGAGUCAAUAAUAAAGUUAUUACUUAUUUUUUCGUAUCAUGAUAAAUGUUUAUUAUUCAUGCUAGAAUUGUAUUAACCGGAAACACAAUACAUGUGUGAAUACAUAGACAAACUUAACGUCACUAGUAUGCCCGACCUAGGCUCAGCAGGGAGGUCCCCGCCGGUCUACAUCCUAAGCACUCCGGGGUCUUGGGCCCAUCGCCCGCAGCACUCCGGGUCGUUGCGAGCAGGGUGGAUACCAGCACCGCCUCGGAUGGCUAGCGCGAUCCGACCGUGCCGCACUGCUGAACUGGACAUCUGACAAAGCUUCGGCUGAUACUGCGACAUCGAGGAACAUAUCUAUUCUCGCGUGGUGGUUAGUGCGUAAAGGCCAAAGGCCAACUCAGAACAAAUACCCAAACCAUAGUGUAUUAUUAGCUUGCGGAGACGAGCAGAGACUCACGACCGAAAGUGACCCCAUCGCCCCGUCUCGUGGACUUACGACAAGGGCCUAGAAUGCCCGGUCGUGCCACGUCAUUAUCUUGCGGGUGCUCUCCGGGCCCGCCCGACUUCCACCAAGGUCUCAAGUAAAGUCAAAGUAACCAUGUGUCCAAACAUCAAGGGGAAAACCCGAGGAAUCACCCCCGGUGGAUUCCACUCAAUGUAAUCAUUAAGGUGAACGUAAGAGGGACCACCCUCGAGGUUCACUCUUGAGGUGUUGAACGACAGAGCCGUAUCAGGAAUGGUGAAAGAGGAAAUCACCCUCGAUGACCAUGACCGAAUAGCUACACUACAGAAUUAUCAUCAGGAGUGCGUUAUGAGGGAUCACCCUCAGCACUCGAUAGUAGCUCUGCAGAGUCGAGCAACAAAAGGGGUGUGAUGUGAUGUGAGGUGUCGGGCUCUAGUCGUCGAUCAUGCUGAUCGAGUCGUCGAUGAUGAAGCAGGGGCAACAAGGACAAGGUGGGGGUCUCUGAUGGAUCACUAACCAACCUAUACUAAGCAGUUUAGGAUAAGCAGGUAGGUAACAAUAGCAGAUACAAAAGCAGGCUAUGCAUCAGAAUAGAAGCAAACAAUAACAGUAGCAAAAUCUAAUGCAAGCAUGAAAGUAUAGAAUGGGCGAUAUCGGGAUGAUCAAAGGGGGGGCUUGCCUAGUUGCUCAGACAAGGAGGGUCGUCGUCGACGUAGUCGGUCACAGGGACAUCAGCAUCGGUCUCGGGGUCUACCGGAGAGAAGAGGGGGAAGAAACAGUAAAUACACGCAAACAUAUGCAUAACAAGACAAUAAGCAAUGCUAGAGGUGAUCUAACGUAGCAUCAGGCGAUACUGGCAAAGGGGGGAAACAUCCGAGAAAGUUUUCCCGGUUCCGGAUGUCUAUUAGACAGAUGAAAUGGAGGGGAAAAGUUCAACGUUUGCUAUGCUAGGGAUGUGUGGCGAGUGAACGGAUCGCGUGUCCAGAUUUGUCUCGUCGUUCUAAGCAAUUUUCAUGUACAAAGUUUUUCGAUCCGAGUUACGGUUAAUUUUCUAUGACUUUUCAACGUUUUAAUUAUUUUCUAAAAAUACCUAGAUUUAAUAUUAAUUCGAAAAUACACCUAAAAAUACUAGAUGCACCCAGUCCAAUGAACCCAGCAGUGCAUUAGAGGCUGACAGUGGGUCCCAGUUGACUGCCCAGUCAGCAGUCAACUGUGGACUUUGACUAGUCAAAUUUACUAAGGGACCCACCUGUCAUUGGGACAAACUUAACAAUUUUCUUUUAGAUGGAUAAGUUGAGGUGGGGGGCACUGUCAUAGACUAAACUAGCCACUAAUUAAACCCUAAAACUAUCCUAUCCCUAAUUAACUAAACCGGCCAGAAGCACAGGCCUAUGCACGCCAUGCAUACACGCACGGCCAUGGCCAAGUAGCAAGCACGGCCAGUAGCAACAGAAACAGCAGCGUAGCUGCGGGAGUAGCAGGGAGGCACGACAGCGGGUAACAACGGGUGCGCGUCGGAGCAGCAGGUGCGACCAGGAGCAGGGGUUGCCGCACACGGCCGCGUUCGCGUGGCAGGGGCGCGGCCAGGACCGAGGCACGGCGCGCGGGAGAGCAGAGCUCCGGCCACGGAGACGACGAGCGCACGACAGUAGCGGCGGCAAAAACUAGCGGGAGCAGCGGCUGCGGCAAGCGAGAGGGGCAGCAGCGCAGCGUGGCGGCGGACGGCUAAGGCGCGCGCGGCGCUGGGGCGCGCACGUACGCGGAAACUUGAGCAUGGCCAUGGACGAGGACGACCGAGCUCGGGGACGACGGCAAACAGUGACGAACGGAAGGGGAAUGGGGGGAAAUCGGCAGAGGAGCUCACCGCGAGCUUGAUGGCGCGGUCGGGGAGGCUGGAGGUGGACCGGAGGCGACAAAUCCGACGACGAACGGCGGUGGCCGUGGCGAGGAAGACGGCCAGAUGGCGAGGUUGUGGAGAGCUCCAGCUUGAACCAGAGGUGAUAGGCGAUGCAGACGAGGCCGAUGGAGCUCUAGAGCAUAUCCUCGUGGGUCGGGGACGGCUCCGGUCAGGGGAACAACGGUGGUGCGGCCAUGUACGUGCUCGGAUGCUGCGGAUCUGGAGGGUGAGCACGGGCGAGAGGAAGAGGGAGAGCGGGGUGGAUCUGGGAGGUGAGGCAAGUGGGGAGGGGAGACGGGGAAGCCCGAGGCGUCAGGGGAUCUUAUCCCCUCGCCGACGACGCUGGUGAGCCGGUCGGGUGGCGACCGCGACCGAGCGGUCGGUCGAGCAGUAGAAGACGACCGAGGGUGGGGGUUGGGCUGCUGGGCA
rnacentral:lncRNA from 1 species